rnacentral:rRNA from 1 species
UACGAAGGGGGCUAGCGUUGUUCGGAAUUACUGGGCGUAAAGCGUGCGUAGGCGGUUCGUUAAGUCAGCUGUGAAAGCCCCGGGCUCAACCUGGGAAUUGCGGUUGAAACUGGCGAACUAGAAUCUGGCAGAGGGGGGUGGAAUUCCACGUGUAGCAGUGAAAUGCGUAGAGAUGUGGAGGAACACCGAUGGCGAAGGCAGCCCCCUGGGCUGAGAUUGACGCUCAGGCACGAAAGCGUGGGGAGCAAACAGG